rnacentral:misc_RNA from 1 species
GAUGAAGAACGCAGCGAAAUGCGAUAAGUAGUGUGAAUUGCAGAAUUCCGUGAGUCAUCGAAUCUUUGAACGCACAUUGCGCCCUCUGGUAUUCCGGAGGGCAUGCCUGUUCGAGCGUCAUUAUCACCCCUCAAGCCCGGCUUGUUGUUGGAUGCAGCGCUUAUCCCGCUCCUCCCAAAGAUAAUGACGGCGUCUGCGACGACUCCUGUACACUGAGCUUUCGGGCACGUACACGGCUAGAAGUCCAGACCCGGUCGCCGUCCCCCCCGCGGGGACACCCAUUACCACAAGGUUGACCUCGGAUCAGGUAGGAAUACCCGCUGAACUUAAGCAUAUCAAUAAGCGGAGGA